UUCCCAGACUCCUACGGGAGGCAGCAGUGGGGGAUAUUGCACAAUGGGGGGAACCCUGAUGCAGCGACGCCGCGUGAGCGAAGAAGUACCUCGGUAUGUAAAGCUCUAUCAGCAGGGAAGAAAAUGACGGUACCUGACUAAGAAGCCCCGGCUAAAUACGUGCCAGCAGCCGCGGUAAUACGUAUGGGGCAAGCGUUAUCCGGAUUUACUGGGUGUAAAGGGAGCGUAGGCGGGCUUGUAAGUUGAAUGUCUAAUCCACCGGCUCAACCGGUGAUCGCGUUCAAAACUGCAGGUCUUGAGUGAAGUAGAGGCAGGCGGAAUUCCUAGUGUAGCGGUGAAAUGCGUAGAUAUUAGGAGGAACACCAGUGGCGAAGGCGGCCUGCUGGGCUUUAACUGACGCUGAGGCUCGAAAGCGUGGGGAGCAAACAGGAUUAGAUACCCCAGUAAG
rnacentral:rRNA from 1 species